GACGAACGCUGGCGGCGUGCUUAACACAUGCAAGUCGAACGUGAUUUUUGUGGAAAUUCUUUCGGGAAUGGAAAUGAAAUGAAAGUGGCGAACGGGUGAGUAACACGUGAGCAACCUACCUUACACAGGGGGAUAGCCGUUGGAAACGACGAUUAAUACCGCAUGAGACCACAGAAUCGCAUGAUAUAGGGGUCAAAGAUUUAUCGGUGUAAGAAGGGCUCGCGUCUGAUUAGCUAGUUGGAAGGGUAAAGGCCUACCAAGGCGACGAUCAGUAGCCGGUCUGAGAGGAUGAACGGCCACAUUGGAACUGAGACACGGUCCAAACUCCUACGGGAGGCAGCAGUGGGGAAUAUUGCACAAUGGGGGGAGCCCUGAUGCAGCGACGCCGCGUGAGCGAAGAAGGUUUUCGAAUCGUAAAGCUCUGUCCUAUGAGAAGAUAAUGACGGUAUCAUAGGAGGAAGCCCCGGCUAAAUACGUG
rnacentral:rRNA from 1 species